GCACCUACCGAUUGAAUGGUUCGGUGAAAAUCUCGGACUGCGGCUUGGAUGCCUUCGGGCAACCAAGAUGUGGAAAGUUGUUUAAACCUCAUCAUUUAGAGGAAGGUGAAGUCGUAACAAGGUUUCCGUAGGUGAACCUGCAGAAGGAUCAAGAUCGGAAGGGCGCCGGGUAGGGAAGGAUGGUAGAUCCCGGGGGUCGCCGUACAUUAAAAAAAAAAAAAGUACUGAGCCUCGUGAAUACAGGCAUCACUCACAAUUACAACAACUACUUUAUCCC
rnacentral:misc_RNA from 1 species